UCCCCUGUCCCGACUUUAGAAAUUCACCCUAAAUUAAUCAGAGACAAUUAGAAGUCAUGCUUUAUAUGUAUAGAUUCCCUUUUGAGUCUAGUUUCAUUAGAAACCAACGACAUAAGUAUUGGAGCUCUGUAAAGGGAGAUAUCUAAGUCGUAAUGCACAAGGGUCAGAGUAGUCAAACCCAGGAACAGGGACGACUUUAACCA
rnacentral:lncRNA from 1 species